rnacentral:lncRNA from 10 species
GGACUAUGGAUCAGGUACUGUGCUCAGCAUCAGAAAAUGGGAUGACAAUGAACAGAGUAACAGGACUAUAUUUCUGAAAAAGGAUGAACUUACUGGAAACAGGAUUGCGUGCCUGAAAUAUAUCCAAAUGGAUAUAAAUGUCAACUCAGUUCUGGGCUGGAGAUAUAGAUUUGGAAUGCACCAACAAUGCAGAUGGUAAUCCUGGCAUGCGAGUAGGUGAGAUCAUCCAGGGAGAUGGCCUAUAAUGAGAGCCUACAACAUGUCAGGGCUCAAGCACCUCUUACUGCCUCCUCACUCUGGAACCAAAUGCCUUACUUGACAGGAUCACAGAAUGUGAAUUUUGAACAGAUCUGAAAAGUUAUUAAGUUCAACUCCACAGAGGUUCCUAGGAGAAUGUUAACAGUCCAGACCUUUUUCACUACAUCAACCACGGAUGAUUGGCAUAUAAAAUCCUACUUAACCUUUACAUAACUGCAAUACCAGGAAACAAAUAUGUCAAUAAAAGGAAACAUCAUUCAAU